rnacentral:snRNA from 1 species
GUGAUUGCUUCGGCAGCACAUAUACUAAAAUAGGAACAAUACAGAGAAGAUUAGCAUGGCUCCUGCACAAGGAUGACACUCAAAUUCGUGAAGCGUUCCAUAUUUUU